rnacentral:tRNA from 1 species
AAUGGCAUAGUUCAAUGGUAGGAUGCAUGCUCAGCAUGCACAAGGUCCUGGGUUCAAUUCCCAGUACCUUCA